rnacentral:rRNA from 1 species
UACGGGGGGGGCAAGCGUUGUUCGGAAUUACUGGGCGUAAAGGGCUCGUAGGCGGCCAACUAAGUCGGACGUGAAAUCCCCAGGCUCAACCUGGGAACUGCGUCCGAUACUGGAUGGCUUGAAUCCGGGAGAGGGAUGCAGAAUUCCAGGUGUAGCGGUGAAAUGCGUAGAUAUCGGGAGGAACACCAGUGGCGAAGGCGACUACCUGGCCCACUCUUGACGCUGAGGCGCGAAAGCUAGGGGAGCAAACGGG